rnacentral:rRNA from 1 species
AUACGGAGGGUGCAAGCGUUACUCGGAAUCACUGGGCGUAAAGCGCGCGCAGGCGGCCCGAUAAGUUGGAUGUGAAAGCCUACGGCUCAACCGUAGAACUGCAUCCGAAACUGUCGGGCUAGAGUCUGGGAGGGGAAGAUGGAAUUAGUUGUGUAGGGGUAAAAUCCGUAGAGAUAACUAGGGAUACCAAAAGCGAAGGCGAUCUUCUGGAACAGUACUGACGCUGAGGCGCGAAAGCGUGGGGAGCAAACAGGAUUAGAAACCCUAGUAGUCC